GGCCGGUUGGCGCAAUGGUAGCGCGCAGCCCUCCUAUUAGGACAAAGAUAUGUUCAAAUUCGAGGCUGAGGCUGUGGGUUCGAGUCCCACAUCGGUCG
rnacentral:tRNA from 1 species